CCUACGGGUGGCAGCAGUGAGGAAUAUUGGUCAAUGGACGAGAGUCUGAACCAGCCAAGUAGCGUGAAGGAUGACUGCCCGAUGGGUUGUAAACUUCUUUUAUAUGGGAAUAAAAUGUGCCACGUGUGGGAUUUUGUAUGUACCAUAUGAAUAAGGAUCGGCUAACUCCGUGCCAGCAGCCGCGGUAAUACGGAGGAUCCGAGCGUUAUCCGGAUUUAUUGGGGUUAAAGGGGGCGUAGAGGGGUUGUUAAGUCAGUUUUGCAAGUUUGCGGCUCAACCGUAAAAUUGCAAUUGAUACUUGCAGUCUUGAGUCCAGUUGCGGUAGGCGGAAUUCGUGGUGUAGCGGU
rnacentral:rRNA from 1 species